rnacentral:pre_miRNA from 1 species
CAAGUACCAUUCUGGAUGUUUCUCUGAGUCAUAUGUCAAAUUCAUAUAUCUUACGACUAGAGGAACAUUCAGCAUUGGUUAUGGU